AUCGAUGACCAUGACUACGACACCAAGAUGCGCAACGUCGUGCGCUUCAUCGGUGACGGUGACAAGGUCAAGGUGACGCUGCGCUUCCGCGGCCGCGAACUUUCGCACCAGCAGCUGGGAAUGGACCUGCUGCGCCGCGUCCAGCAGGACGUCGAGGAAGUGGCGAAGGUCGAAGCCUACCCGCGCAUGGAAGGCCGCCAGAUGCUGAUGGUGCUGGCGCCGAAGUAAGCGCCGCCGUCCGGAGCUGACGAAACACAAAGGGCGUGGCCGAUGGCCGCGCCCUUUGUCGUUUCAACUCACGAUAGCGUCAAAACGCCGAUCA
rnacentral:misc_RNA from 1 species